AUACGUAGGGGGCGAGCGUUGUCCGGAAUGAUUGGGCGUAAAGGGCGCGUAGGCGGCGCGGUAAGUCUGGAGUGAAAGUCCUGCUUUCAAGGUGGGAAUUGCUUUGGAUACUGCCGCGCUUGAGUGCAGGAGAGGUUAUCGGAAUUCCCGGUGUAGCGGUGAAAUGCGUAGAGAUCGGGAGGAACACCAGUGGCGAAGGCGGGUAACUGGACUGCAACUGACGCUGAGGCGCGAAAGUGUGGGGAGCAAACAGGAUUAGAUACCCUGGUAGUCCACACUGUAAACGAUGAAUGCUAGGUGUAAGAGGUAUCGACCCCUUUUGUGCCGGAGUCAACACAAUAAGCAUUCCGCCUGGGGAGUACGGCCGCAUGGUUGAAACUCAAAGGAAUUGACGGGG
rnacentral:rRNA from 1 species